GGGUUCCUGGCAUUGUGAUUUAAUGAUUAAAUAAAAGUGAAAAAUCACAUUGCCAGGGAUUACCA
rnacentral:pre_miRNA from 1 species